ensembl:lncRNA
ACUGCAUUCAAUCGUCCGGGUGGUGUGCUGGGGGACGUCCUACGGUUUGGAGUGUGCUUGGAGAGAGAGGGAGAAGAAACCCUGCCUAGCAGGGCACUUUAUAGCGUCGCCUCAGUUCUUGCACAACGCGACCAUUGCAAGUGAGCGAGCGGAUUUUAGUCUAUAAUUAUACGGGCUGGAAACGGAUUUUCAUACGUCGUCAUGCUGUACAGCUUUUACAUCUACGGUCGAUGACACCUGCGUUUUUGUCUUGAAGUUUCGCCGAUCGCGAACAGUUGGGACUGCAUUCCUUCGCUCUGGAGUCCAGACCUGCAGCGUUUUUCAGAGUUAGUGAGAGAGCUAGAGAGAGAGGGGGUCCCCGUUCCUACCUGCUGUCUUUUACGUGUAACUUCUGAACUAUUCUCCAGCCCAGUCAAACAUUCUUCUGGCUGGCUCUGCCCAGUGUUGUCGUUUAUCGGAAACAUCGGAUAAUCACUAAUGAUAUCUGAGAAUCGAUUAGUUUUGAACUAGAAAGAUUCUGCAUUUAAGUUCUGCCCCAUUGGAUUGAAUGCCUUGUAUGCGGUGACUAUGGCUUUACAAUGGAUCCUCGUAGCCGCUUUGGCUGGAAUUCUUCUCACCGCCACUUCAGAAAUACAUGGAGCAUGUCUCUAUCAGGGAUCUCUGUUCGCGGUAAGUGCACCUUUCAUCGUUCCUUCCUACCUUUUUCUUCCCGCUGUCACAUCUAUUUACACAACUACUGUUCACUGAGUGGACAAAACAUUAGGAACACCUGCUCUUUCCAUGACAUACACUGACCAGGUGAAUCCAGGUGAAAGCUAUGAUCCCUUAUUGAGGUCACUUGUUAAAUCCACUUCAAUCAGUGUAGAUAAAGGGGAGGACACGGGUUAAAGAAGGAUCUUUAUGCCUUGAGACAAAUGAGACAUAGAUUAUGUGUGUCAUUCAGAGAAUGAGCAAGACAGAACAAACAAAUGCCUUUGAACGGGGUAUGGUAGUAGGUGCCAGGUGCAUCUGUUUGUGUCAAGAACUGCAACGCUGCUGGGUUUUUCACCCUCAACAGUUUCCUGUGUGUAUCAAGAAUGGUCCACCACCCCAAAAGAACAUCCAGCCAACUUGACACAACCGUGGGAAGCAAUUGGAGUCAACAUGGUCCAGCAACCCUGUGGAAUGCUUUUCGACAUCUUUUAGAG